rnacentral:rRNA from 1 species
GACGUAGGUGGCGAACGUUAUCCGGAAUUAUUGGGCGUAAAGGGUGCGUAGGUGGCCUGGCAAGUUAUCAGUGGUAAAUCGAGGCCCAACCUCGUGGAAACUGGCAAUACUGCUUGGCUUGAGUGCAGGAGAGGUUAACGGAACUCUAUGUGGAGCGGUAAAAUGCGCAGAUAUAUAGAAGAACAUCAAUAACGGCGAAGGCAGUUAACUAUUCUGUUACUGACACUGAGGCACGAAAGCGUGGGGAGCAAAACGG